rnacentral:rRNA from 1 species
CCUGAGAAGGCUCAGGCAACCAGCUGCUGGAAUAGCUGGGGCAAGCGAGAUACCUGCGCACCAGGGAAAUCCGGUGCGCGCAAGGGGAAGGCGCGAAGCAUACGGAAAGCUGCGGCAAGUACGGAAAAGCUGAGAGCAGGCUUCCAGGAAAAGCUUCUAGCACAACACGCAUCGGCCCGUACCGAAAAUGGACACACAUGGGCAAGGAGAGAAUCCUGAGGUGAGCGAGAGAACUAUAGCUAAGGAACUCUGCAAAAUGACCCCGUAACUUAGGGAGGAGGGGUGCUCCAGAAAUGGAGCCGCAGUAAAACGGCCCAAGCGACUGUUUACCAAAAACACAGCUCUCUGCGAAGGCGCAAGCCGAAGUAUAGGGGGUGACGCCUGCCCGGUGCUGGAAGGUCAAGGGGAGCUGUCAGCGCAAGCGAAGCAGCGAGCCGAAGCCCCAGUAAACGGCGGCCGUAACGAUAACGGUCCUAAGGUAGCGAAAUUCCUUGUCGGGCAAGUUCCGACCCGCACGAAAGGCGUAACGAUUUGGGCGCUGUCUCAGCUGUAGACUCGGUGAAGUCUUAGUACCUGUGAAGAUGCAGGUUGCCCGCGACUAGACGGAAAGACCCCAUGGAGCUUCACUGCAGGUUGACAUUGGGCUUGGAUGCAUGAUGUACAGGAUAGGUGGGAGGCUGUGAGCCGUGCGCGCCAGCGUACGGGGAGCCGCUGUUGGGAUACCACCCUUCAUGCAUCUAGGUCCUAACCGGAGGCAACGGGCCACGGGACAGUGUCAGUCGGGCAGUUUGACUGGGGCGGUCGCCUCCCAAAGAGUAACGGAGGCGCCCAAAGAUACCCUCAGCAUGGAUGGAAACCAUGCAUAGAGUGCAAAGGCAUAAGGGUGUCUGACUGCGAGACAUACAGGUCGAGCAGGGACGAAAGUCGGGCUUAGUGAUCCGGCGGAUCCGAAUGGAAGGGCCGUCGCUCAACGGAUAAAAGCUACCCUGGGGAUAACAGGCUGAUCUCCCCCAAGAGUUCACAUCGACGGGGAGGUUUGGCACCUCGAUGUCGGCUCAUCGCAUCCUGGAGCUGAAGUCGGUUCCAAGGGUUGGGCUGUUCGCCCAUUAAAGCGGUACGCGAGCUGGGUUCAGAACGUCGUGAGACAGUUCGGUCCCUAUCUGUCGUGGGCGCAGGAGGUUUGAGGAGAGCUGCCCCUAGUACGAGAGGACCGGGGUGGACGGACCGAUGGUGCACCAGUUGUCACGCCAGUGGCACAGCUGGGCAGCCAAGUCCGGACGGGAUAAGCGCUGAAGGCAUCUAAGCGUGAAGCCCCCUCCAAGAUGAGACCUCCCAUUGGCGACAAGUAAGGCCCCUCGAAGACGACGAGGUUGAUAGGCCGCGAGUGCAAGCGCAGCGAUGUGCUUAGCGCGGCGGUACUAAUAGGCCGAGGACUUGGUU